GGCAGUUUGCUUUAUCGUGGGAUGGCAACAGAGUUUCUCUAAAUGUCCAGGAGCAUUUGCCAGAGCAAUUAUGGAUAAGUCUCUGCAGCAACUCCCAAAUGAAUGAAAUGAAAGGAUCUCUCUUGUCCAGAUAGCCACUAUCUGAUAACGGUCUCGUCUGCAUGUUCAUUCUCUUUCAAGAUGAUUGGCUCUGUUCAGGAGCUGAGAGUAACAUUUAUUCCGGGUGACAAGGUCAUCAAGUUUUCUGCAGGGACUCUCAAGCAUGGCAUUUCUAAGUUCUUUAGAGGCCUCAUUCAGCUAAGCCUCGUAAGAAUAUACGGAUGUAUUCCUUGCCAUGUGGAAGAGCAUAAAUCAGUACUUUGCCUCUGAAUGGCAACUAGGAAACCUAGUCCUGUGCUUCUCAAAAUGGGAUACCUAACACCCCUGAAGAUAAGAGGUCUGAUCAUUGGAAACCACAGAAACUCUACGGCACAUAAAUUUUUCUAGGAACAUUUUAGGGAAAUUAAAGUGUUAUUAAAAAGACUACCUUUACGAAA